rnacentral:ncRNA from 2 species
GUGUUGUAUGAAAGGAGAGACGGUUAGCACUCCCCUUGGCAAGGAUGGAACACAAAUACGGUUAAGGCACCUUAACCAAAAUUUUUU